rnacentral:rRNA from 1 species
UGUUCUCUAAAUAGGGACUUGUAUGAAUGGCCACACGAGGGUUUUACUGUCUCUUACUUCCAAUCAGUGAAAUUGACCUUCCCGUGAAGAGGCGGGAAUAUAUUAAUAAGACGAGAAGACCCUAUGGAGCUUUAACUACUUAGCCCAAAAGAAACAAAUUUCAUUACUAAGGAAACAACAACACUCUUUAUGGGCUAACAGCUUUGGUUGGGGUGACCUCGGAGAACAAGAAAUCCUCCGAGCGAUUUUAAAGACUAGACCUACAAGUCGAAUCACACAAUCGUUUAUUGAUCCAAAAAAUUGAUCAACGGAACAAGUUACCCUAGGGAUAACAGCGCAAUCCUAUUCAAGAGUCCAUAUCGACAAUAGGGUUUACGACCUCGAUGUUGGAUCAGGACAUCCCGAUGGUGCAACCGCUAUCAAAGGUUCGUUUGUUCAACGAUUAAAGU